UGCGAACCCUUGUACUGUCUGGUGGUUUUGCAGUCUGCUACUACUGCGGUAGAGCAGCGCAGAAGAGAGGAGAUCCGGGAGACCCGCGUGAGACAGUGAACAAAUCCGAUUUAAUCUUCCUCUGUCUGGCUGAGUUGCAGGAACCUCACUGUGCCCGGGUCUCCCGCCCAAGAGGAGCCGUUGGCCGAGACCCGAGGCGUGUACUGACUGACCGCCAGCUGCCAUGGCUGACCACCUGAUGCUCGCCGAGGGCUACUGCCUGCUACAGGUGCCGCACGCGCCCCGGACUCUGCAGCCAUACCCAGGCCCGGGCCUAGACAGCGGUCUGCGGCCGCGGGGGGCUCCGCUGGGACCGCCGCCGCCAUCCGGGACCUUGGCAUACGGCUCUUUCGGAUCGCCUGUCUCCUUCCAGCCCUUCCCCGUCUCGCAGCCGCCGGGCGCCGGUAACGCGCACCUUCAGUCUGCAGCUACGCCGUCCCCGGGCCGCAUGCCGGCGCCCCCGUCAGCCGCGGGAGGGCCCUCACCUCUGCAGCCCGCUCCGGGAGCCGCGUCCCCGCUGCCGCUGCCGCCGCCGCCGCCGCUGCCGCCCGCCCUGGGCUGCAUGGACGCGGAGCUCAUCGACGAGGAGGCGCUGACGUCGCUGGAACUCGAGCUCGGGCUGCACCGUGUUCGCGAGCUGCCCGAGCUCUUCCUUGGCCAAAGCGAGUUCGAUUGCUUCUCGGACCUGGGGUCAGUGCCGGCCGCCGGCUCGGUGAGCUGUUGAACGCCACCACCGAGAGACGCCGGACUGCGCCCGGUGGCCCGGCCUGCACACACCCUCCGUGAGGGUGGAGGCGCCGGGUUUUUGCGCCGAGACGGCUCCAGCUGUGGACACCUGCCUUGCCUCCAGGCCCUGCCUCCUGCCGGAUGACGGUUGGGUCUUGCUUCUCGUACCCAAGCCUCAGCGUUCUAAUGGAGGGAACUGAACCAGCCUGUGGAUUCCAUGUUCUUGAAUUCUGUGCCCUCUUUCCGCCCCUUUCCCCCAAUCUGAGCCAUUGCAGGCCUCUACCUUCUAUCUCGUGCAGCCUAUUAAUCGAAUUGGGUCUAGGGAGCCAUCUCCCUGUACCCCUACCUUCCCUGGUCCUCUGGCCUCGGGGAGGGAAGGUUUUUACACCCUGCAGAGUGAAGCCAUGCUCCGGGUGGCCUCUGAAACCAAAAUAAAACUGGGUUGCUUUACA
rnacentral:lncRNA from 1 species